CGCUGAUAGCCGCGAUCCACGAGGAGGAGCUCUCACCUGUGGCCUUCCUCUCUCUCUGCAUCGCUCUUUCUGCGUGUGAAGAUGACAGUCCUUAGUGGCCAGAGGGAAAAUGAGAGCAUAGGAUGGGACCAGGGGACACUCAUUGUGGUUCCUCUCUGGCUCAUACUUUGAUGAACCCACUUCAUCUUCCCAGAGGUGAAGCCCAGUUGGUGAAAGUCAAGCCCAUUUCCUGCUUCAUGCUCUCAGACUGUGCCAGCCAUCUUCCUCUUGUAGAAGGUGCAACCUUCCAGCUGUGCCUGCAGAGCCACCACAUAAAAGUGAGCAUGCUGCUCAGAUGCAACAAGCCAGUGGCCUAAGGAGGUGAACCUGUGUACCUCUGCAAGGUGGCAGCUGCCACCCAAGCUUCAAUUCUGCUCCCUGCCAUGGACCCAACAGCCCCCAACCCUCCCGGGUCACUGAAGUUCUUUCCAAGUCUGCCCUUUUAUACUCUCUUUCCCUCUCUCACACCUUCACAACCAGUAAGACACUUGGUAUAGGUGUUUUUGCAGACUUUGAACUGAGUGGAAGGUAUCUUUCUUCUUCCAGCAGGAGGCCAAAGUUUACUGUAGCAACAUUAAAAGGUGUGAAGGCUCAGGAAA